GGAUGCGAUCAUACCAGCACUAAUGCACCGGAUCCCAUCAGAACUCCGAAGUUAAGCGUGCUUGGGCGAGAGUAGUACUAGGAUGGGUGACCCCUGGGAAGUCCUCGUGUUGCUCGGU
rnacentral:rRNA from 1 species